rnacentral:rRNA from 1 species
AAAUUGAAGAGUUUGAUCAUGGCUCAGAUUGAACGCUGGCGGCAGGCCUAACACAUGCAAGUCGAACGGUAACAGGAAGCAGCUUGCUGCUUCGCUGACGAGUGGCGGACGGGUGAGUAACGUCUGGGAAACUGCCUGAUGGAGGGGGAUAACUACUGGAAACGGUAGCUAAUACCGCAUAACGUCGCAAGACCAAAGAGGGGGACCUUCGGACCUCUUGCCAUCGGAUGUGCCCAGAUGGGAUUAGCUAGUAGGUGGGGUAACGGCUCACCUAGGCGACGAUCCCUAGCUGGUCUGAGAGGAUGACCAGCCACACUGGAACUGAGACACGGUCCAGACUCCUACGGGAGGCAGCAGUGGGGAAUAUUGCACAAUGGGCGCAAGCCUGAUGCAGCCAUGCCGCGUGUAUGAAGAAGG